rnacentral:rRNA from 1 species
GGGCUACACAUGCAAGUCGAACGGCAGCACAGAAGAGCUUGCUCUUUGGGUGGCGAGUGGCGGACGGGUGAGUAAUGUCUGGGAAACUGCCCGAUGGAGGGGGAUAACUACUGGAAACGGUAGCUAAUACCGCAUAACGUCGCAAGACCAAAGUGGGGGACCUUCGGGCCUCACACCAUCGGAUGUGCCCAGAUGGGAUUAGCUAGUAGGUGGGGUAAUGGCUCACCUAGGCGACGAUCCCUAGCUGGUCUGAGAGGAUGACCAGCCACACUGGAACUGAGACACGGUCCAGACUCCUACGGGAGGCAGCAGUGGGGAAUAUUGCACAAUGGGCGCAAGCCUGAUGCAGCCAUGCCGCGUGUAUGAAGAAGGCCUUCGGGUUGUAAAGUACUUUCAGCGGGGAGGAAGGCGGUGAGGUUAAUAACCUUGCCGAUUGACGUUACCCGCAGAAGAAGCACCGGCUAACUCCGUGCCAGCAGCCGCGGUAAUACGGAGGGUGCAAGCGUUAAUCGGAAUUACUGGGCGUAAAGCGCACGCAGGCGGUCUGUUAAGUCAGAUGUGAAAUCCCCGGGCUUAACCUGGGAACUGCAUUUGAAACUGGCAGGCUUGAGUCUCGUAGAGGGGGGUAGAAUUCCAGGUGUAGCGGUGAAAUGCGUAGAGAUCUGGAGGAAUACCGGUGGCGAAGGCGGCCCCCUGGACGAAGACUGACGCUCAGGUGCGAAAGCGUGGGGAGCAAACAGGAUUAGAUACCCUGGUAGUCCACGCCGUAAACGAUGUCGACUUGGAGGUUGUGCCCUUGAGGCGUGGCUUCCGGAGCUAACGCGUUAAGUCGACCGCCUGGGGAGUACGGCCGCAAGGUUAAAACUCAAAUGAAUUGACGGGGGCCCGCACAAGCGGUGGAGCAUGUGGUUUAAUUUCGAUGCAACGCGAAGAACCUUACCUGGCCUUGACAUCCAGAGAACUUAGCAGAGAUGCUUUGGGUGCCUUUCGGGAACUCUGAGACAGGUGCUGCAUGGCUGUCGUCAGCUCGUGUUGUGAAAUGUUGGGUUAAGUCCCGCAACGAGCGCAACCCUUAUCCUUUGUUGCCAGCGGUUCGGCCGGGAACUCAAAGGAGACUGCCGGUGAUAAACCGGAGGAAGGUGGGGAUGACGUCAAGUCAUCAUGGCCCUUACGGCCAGGGCUACACACGUGCUACAAUGGCGCAUACAAAGAGAAGCGACCUCGCGAGAGCAAGCGGACCUCAUAAAGUGCGUCGUAGUCCGGAUUGGAGUCUGCAACUCGACUCCAUGAAGUCGGAAUCGCUAGUAAUCGUAGAUCAGAAUGCUACGGUGAAUACGUUCCCGGGCCUUGUACACACCGCCCGUCACACCAUGGGAGUGGGUUGCAAAAGAAGUAGGUAGCUUAACCUUCGGGAGGGCGCUUACCACUUUG